CUGUAGUCACUCAGAGGUUGUUGUUCUGUCCCCCUGUAGACUGCCUCAUUGUUGUUUAUGAUAAAGUGGGCAAACUUUGUGAUGCUGUUUGUGCUGGACCAACCCACACAGUCGUGUGUGAACAAGGAGAACUGCAAGAGGCUCAACAACACGUAUUGAGAGUCACAGAGGAGGAGGUGUUCUUGCUUGUCUGCACAUCUAGAGGUCUGACAGCGAAGCGGUCCUGAACCCACCUGCAUAGAGAGGGGCCUAAGUCCUGAAUCCAGAAGCUUGUGUUUGGGUGUCAGGGUCACGGGGAACCUGAAGCCUAUCCCAGGAAGCAUCGGGCACAAGGUGGGAUGCAGAAUAUUAUGUUUUAACGUAAUAUAAUAUUAUAAUGUUGGGCAGCUGUGGAUUAGGUGGUAGAGCGGGUUGUCCACUAAUCGUAGGGUUGGCGCAGCAUUGCAAGAGUGCUUAUAUUCAGUAUACCCGCACUGGGAAUGUUUCACUGUGUGUAUCACUCCACUCAUCCGUGUUCACGACAUAAAAUACCACUUCCUAGUUCGAAACUGUUACUACAGUAGAGUUAGUGACG
ensembl:lncRNA